AACACAUUAGCUAAGUGGAAUAGCAUAUAACUUACAAUUAUAAGUCAUAAGUUCGAUUCUUAUAUGUGUUA
rfam:Hanseniaspora opuntiae strain AWRI3578 Hanseniaspora_opuntiae_AWRI3578_scaffold228, whole genome shotgun sequence.